rnacentral:rRNA from 1 species
ACGGCCGCAAGGUUAAAACUCAAAUGAAUUGACGGGGGCCCGCACAAGCGGUGGAGCAUGUGGUUUAAUUCGAUGCAACGCGAAGAACCUUACCUGGUCUUGACAUCCACGGAAGUUUUCAGAGAUGAGAAUGUGCCUUCGGGAACCGUGAGACAGGUGCUGCAUGGCUGUCGUCAGCUCGUGUUGUGAAAUGUUGGGUUAAGUCCCGCAACGAGCGCAACCCUUAUCCUUUGUUGCCAGCGGUCCGGCCGGGAACUCAAAGGAGACUGCCAGUGAUAAACUGGAGGAAGGUGGGGAUGACGUCAAGUCAUCAUGGCCCUUACGACCAGGGCUACACACGUGCUACAAUGGCGCAUACAAAGAGAAGCGACCUCGCGAGAGCAAGCGGACCUCAUAAAGUGCGUCGUAGUCCGGAUUGGAGUCUGCAACUCGACUCCAUGAAGUCGGAAUCGCUAGUAAUCGUGGAUCAGAAUGCCACGGUGAAUACGUUCCCGGGCCUUGUACACACCGCC